rnacentral:rRNA from 1 species
UUUUAUUUAACUAAACCCAACUUAUUAAAUCUAUAAACAAAAAAUCAAAACUUUCAACAACGGAUCUCUUGGUUCUCGCAUCGAUGAAGAACGCAGCGAAAUGCGAUACGUAAUACGAAUCGCAGCUCUCGGAAUCAUCGAAUCUUUGAACGCACAUUGCACCAUGGGGUAUUCCCCAUGGUAUGCCUGUUUGAGCAAUAGUUUCCCUAAUCCUUUUGGAUUGUAUUGUUAAACUAAAAAUAUUUACUACACUAUAAAAAUAAGUGUACCAAAACAUUUUAUUCUCAAAUCAGGUAGGACUACCCGCUGAACUUAAGCAUAUCAAUAAGCGGAGGA